AAAGUUUCACAUUCCAUAUAUACCUCUCUUGACUUAAUCUAUCCCUGUUUUUAAGUUUGUGGAGUAAGAUUUGGAGUAUAAAGAAUGGUCACCUUUUGUCCCCUCAACACUAGUAUAGCUUUCUCUCAGCCUUUGGUGUUUUCUUAAGAGCUCCUCACUAUGAUUAUAAAGAUUAAAGACUCUUUCUUUACUCCCAACCAUCUUCCUCUAGGCAUAAUAUCCAUGUCUGCCUUUUGAU
rnacentral:lncRNA from 1 species